AGGGCGUAUGGUGGAUGCCUUGGCAUUAGAAGACGAUGAAGGACGCGACAAACAGCGAUAUUGCUUCGGGGAGUUGUAAGUAAACUUUGAUCCGGAGAUCUCCGAAUGAGGAAACUCACCCAUUAGGGUAUCAUAAAGUGAAUACAUAGCUUUAUAGAAGUCAACCCCGUGAACUGAAACAUCUUAGUAACGGGAGGAAAAGAAAGAAAAAUCGAUUGCCUGAGUAGUGGCGAGCGAAACGGCAACAGCCCAAACCAGUCUUAGGACUGGGGUUGUAGGACACUAAUAUACGGAGUUACCAAGUUUUAUGAUAGCAGAACACUUUGGAAAGAGUGACCAUAGGAAGUGAUAGUCUUGUAUGCGAAAUCAUGAAACCUCUAUAGUGUAUCCUGAGUACGGCGGGACACGAGAAAUCUUGUCGGAAUCUGUGGGGACCAUCCCAUAAGGCUAAAUACUCUCUAAUGACCGAUAGUGAACAAGUACCGUGAGGGAAAGGUGAAAAGAACCCCGGGAGGGGAGUGAAAUAGAGAAUCUGAAACCAUAUGCUUACAAAAAGUUCGAGCCCAUUAACGGGUGAGAGCGUGCCUUUUGCAGAAUGAGCCGGCGAGUUAUGGUAUUGUGCAAGGUUAAGUGGAAAACACGGAGCCGAAGCGAAAGCAAGUCUUAAUAGGGCGAUUUAGUACAAUGCUGUAGACCCGAAACCGAGUGAUCUAGCCAUGAGCAGGUUGAAGUUGGGGUAAUACCCAAUGGAGGACCGAACCAGGGUACUAUGUAACGUGCUUGGAUGACUUGUGGCUAGCGGUGAAAUUCCAAUCGAACUCGGAUAUAGCUGGUUCUCCCCGAAAUAGGUUUAGGCCUAGCCUUGAAUUAUUUCAUCCUGGAGGUAGAGCACUGAAUGUGGAAUGGCCGCGUCUAGCGGUACUGACUGCAAUCAACCUCCGAAUGCCAGGAAUUGUAGAUUCAGGAGUCAGUGUAUGAGGUGAUAACGUCCAUACGCGAGAGGAAAACAAUCCAGACCAUCAACUAAGGUCCCUAAAUAUAUGUUAAGUGGGAAAGGAUGUGGAGACGCACGAACAGCUAGGAGGUUGGCUUAGAAGCAGCCAUCCUUUAAAGAGUGCGUAAUAGCUCACUAGUCGAGUGAUUCUGCGCCGAAAAUGUAUCGGGGCUAAGCAUAAUACCGAAGCUGCGGGAUUAGACAAAGAGUCUAAUCGGUAGGGGAGCGUACUAAACGCGAAGAAGGUUGACCGGAAGGGCAGCUGGAGAGUUUAGCAGUGAGAAUGCCGGUGUGAGUAGCGAUAAGAUGGGUGAGAAUCCCAUCCGUCGGAAGCCUAAGGGUUCCAGGGGUAAGGCUCGUCCGCCCUGGGUAAGUCGGGACCUAAGGUGAGGCCGAAAGGCGUAGCCGAUGGAUAUCAGGUUGAUAAUCCUGGACCACCGUAGAGCUGAAGGAGUGACGGAGGAGGGAAGUUAGGAUGGACUGGUGGAAUAGUCUAAUGAAGCACAAAGAGGGAUACGUAGGAAAAGCCGCGUAUUGAAACCUUGAAGUGUAAACCGCAAGGCCUAAUGGACCACACUUCCAAGAAAAGCUUCUAGGAGUACUUUAUGGUGCCCGUACCGUAAACGGACACACGUAGGCGAGGAGAGAAUCCAAAGACGCGCGAGAUAAUUCUUGUUAAGGAACUCUGCAAAAUGACCCUGUAACUUCGGGAUAAAGGGGACUCUAGAGAUAGAGGCGCAGAAAAUAGGCCCAAGCGACUGUUUAACAAAAACAUAGGUUUCUGCUAAAGCGAAAGCUGAUGUAUAGGAGCUGACGCCUGCCCAGUGCUGGAAGGUUAAGAGGAGAUGUAAGUCGCAAGGCAAAGCAUUGAAUUGAAGCCCCAGUAAACGGCGGCCGUAACUAUAACGGUCCUAAGGUAGCGAAAUUCCUUGUCAGGUAAGUUCUGACCCGCACGAAAGGCGUAAUGAUCUGGAUACUGUCUCAACCAUAGACUCGGUGAAAUCUUAAUACCUGUGAAAAUGCAGGUUACCCGCGACAGGACGGAAAGACCCCAUGGAGCUUUACUGUAGCUUGAUAUUGAAGUUAGGUAAUUUAUGUAGAGGAUAGGUGGUAGACUAUGAUGUAUGGACGCCAGUUCAUACGGAGUCGCCCUUGGAAUACCACCCUUAAAUUAUUUGACCUCUAACUUACUCCCGUUAUCCGGGAGGAGGACAGUGUCUGGUGGGCAGUUUGACUGGGGCGGUCGCCUCCCAAAGAGUAACGGAGGCGCUCAAAGGUUCCCUCAGAUUGGUCGGAAAUCAAUCAAAGAGUGUAAUGGUAUAAGGGAGCUUGACUGCGAGACCUACAAGUCGAGCAGGUGCGAAAGCAGGACAUAGUGAUCUGGCGGUAGAAUAUGGAAUUGCCGUCGCUUAACGGAUAAAAGUUACCCUGGGGAUAACAGGCUGAUAGCGCCCAAUAGUUCACAUAGACGGCGCUGAUUGGCACCUCGAUGUCGGCUCGUCACAUCCUGGAGGUGGAUUCGCUUCCAAGGGUUGGGCUGUUCGCCCAUUAAAGUGGCACGCGAGCUGGGUUCGGUCCCUAUCCGUCGUGGGCGUAGGAAAAUUGAGGAGAGCUGUUCCUAGUACGAGAGGACCGGAAUGGACAUACCUCUGGUGUAUCUGUUGUAACGCCAGUUGCAGUGCAGAGUAGCUAUGUAUGGACGGGAUAACCGCUGAAAGCAUCUAAGCGGGAAGCCUCCUCCAAGAUGAAUUUUCCCAUUCUUCGUGAAGUAAGAUUCCUUGU
rnacentral:rRNA from 1 species